rnacentral:rRNA from 1 species
UACGUAGGUGGCAAGCGUUGUCCGGAUUUACUGGGCGUAAAGAGCGCGCAGGCGGUCGUUCAAGUCGCGUGUGAAAGCCCCCGGCUCAACCGGGGAGGGUCACGCGAUACUGAUCGACUCGAAGGCAGGAGAGGGUAGUGGAAUUCCCGGUGUAGUGGUGAAAUGCGUAGAUAUCGGGAGGAACACCAGUGGCGAAGGCGACUACCUGGCCUGUUCUUGACGCUGAGGCGCGAAAGCUAGGGGAGCAAACAGG